rnacentral:rRNA from 1 species
UACGAAGGGGGCGAGCGUUGUUCGGAAUUAUUGGGCGUAAAGCGCGCGCAGGCGGUCCUUUAAGUCUGAUGUGAAAGCCCACGGCUCAACCGUGGAGGGUCAUUGGAAACUGGGGGACUUGAGUACAGAAGAGGAAAGCGGAAUUCCACGUGUAGCGGUGAAAUGCGUAGAGAUGUGGAGGAACACCAGUGGCGAAGGCGGCUUUCUGGUCUGUAACUGACGCUGAGGCGCGAAAGCGUGGGGAGCAAACAGG